GGAAUAUUGCGCAAUGGACGAAAGUCUGACGCAGCGACGCCGCGUGAGGGAGGAAGCCUUUCGGGGUGUAAACCACUGUCAGAGGGGAAGAACGCCGGCUAGUCGAACAGGCUAGUCGGGUGACGGUACCCUCAAAGGAAGCGCCGGCUAACUCCGUGCCAGCAGCCGCGGUAAGACGGAGGGCGCAAGCGUUGUUCGGAAUUACUGGGCGUAAAGCGCGGGCAGGCGGUCUGUUAAGUCGUUUGUGAAAAUCCGGGGCUCAACCCCGUGAAAUGCAGACGAUACUGGCGGACUAGAGAAUGGUAGAGGCUAGCGGAAUUCCUGGUGUAGCGGUGGAAUGCGUAGAUAUCAGGAAGAACACCUGUGGCGAAGGCGGCUAGCUGGGCCAUUUCUGACGCUCAUCCGCGAAAGCGUGGGGAGCAAAC
rnacentral:rRNA from 1 species